UUUAAGCAAAAAAAAAUUUUGAUUUUAUUUUUAUCAACAUAAACUAUAAGAUUAAUCAAGCCAAUUGAGAGAAAAAUUGUUUACAUGACAAGAAGAUCAGUAGAUGCAAACCAGGCGAGAGUAUGGUAAGAAGGGAACGAAACUUCUUCUUCUCAUCCGUCUUUGUCUUGUGUUCGCUUCCCAGAUCCUUGGUUGGUUUGUUGAAGAGAUGUUUGACAUAUAUUUAUAAGCAAAACAAAAUUGAGUGUGA
rnacentral:lncRNA from 1 species